CGAAUUUGAAUAAAGUUGGAUAUAUUUUUGUUGUUUCAAUUGAUUUUGAAAUCGAAACUGCACAAUUCAAAACUGUAUCGCUCCAAUCAGAAUCAAUUUUAUGUGUAAUUUUGAAUUUGUCAAACCGUAACUAAUCAUGUGUGCGAUUUGGGUGAGUGUAGAGGAGCCCCGAUUACGCCAAAAAAAUUAUCUCUCUCUAAACUUGUCCAUGGAUGCUCAACAACUUAUCUCCAUUGAAGACAUAUUCGACUCUUCCCUAAACCUAGAAGAUACCCACUUCAACAGAGGGUUACUUAUUGGGAAAGACGAGGGUCGGCAGGUGGGUCUCAGAUCCGGGUUCGAAAUUGGCGAUCGAGGAACUAGGAUUUUACAGAGGCAGCAUUGAUUUGUGGACUUCCUUUUCUUCAAGGGUUGCAAAUGGAGGAGUUGGAUCAGAAGUAGCAGUUUUGGGAGCCGGAAACUGAGUUCGUUAGUGAUAUUAUUGAUGAUUUUUUGAGGUUGAAGUUAAAGGCUAUUUGUGCCACAAUCCCAAAAGGAUGAGAUUUAGAGUUUUGAAUUGUGUAGGGGCAAGGUAUGUGUAUGAAGAUUGUUUUUAUUUACACUCCGUCUGAGUUUUGAACAAAAAAAAAAAAAAUAGAAAACUUAAACUAAAACAGAAAAGAAAAGAAUAGAAAACUUAAAGUUUUCUUUUGUGUUGUUUCUGAGUUUUUAAUAGAAAAGGAUAGAAAAUUUAAAAUUGAGGACAUGAGUUGUAAUUUAAAAUUUAUUAUAUUAAAAGUUGAGGAUAAUAUGAGAAUUAUAAAAAUAUUACUUAUUCUAAUUUCUUUUCCGUCCAAAUCAUACCAAUUUUGGACGGAAAACUUUGGCAGGAAAAGUGGCCAAGUUUUUUAUCCAUUUCUUUUCUUUUCUAUUUAUUAAAAAACUCAAAAACAUAAAAAUUAAAAAGAAAACUUAAAUUUUCCGUCCAUUUCUUUUUUUUUUCUGUUUAUUUUAAAACUCAAAAAGAGAGCGUUAGUAUAUAUGUAUGAAGUUUGUUUUCAUCAAGUACAUGUAACAUGUUUCCUGCUGGUUGUGAUUGUCUUGAUAAUUCAGAUUGUGUUUUGUAUAAUUCAGAUGGACACAUGCUUUGUGUGGCAAAAACAUGAAUAUAUUUAAAUUUUAUUUAUUUAUCUUUUAAUCAUGAUGAGUAAAAAUACGUGAAAUUUAAAUUUAAUUUUUAUAUUCAAUUUUCACGUCUAUUCAUGCAAGGCACUGUAGUAGCUAUGUUGACCAUGUCUUUCUCAUAUGAUAUCUAUCUAUGCAUUUUCACAACCUUGUAUUUGUUUUGUUUUGAAAUUCAUUUAAAAUUCAUGAACAAGAGAAUUGAUCAUCCCAUAAUAUUCUUUUACUUUCUUUCUCUUCAUUCUAAAUUCAAAAAACACAAUAUUAAUUACAUCACCACCGCCUAGACACGCAACUUUUAGUUAAUUUCUAAUGUAAAUUGAAAAGUUAUGUUUGUUUUAUUUCAUUUAAAUUAUAAAUUGGGUACAACAAAUUUAACACAAAAAAUAAUAAAUUAAUAUUUAGGUGCUUAUGCAACUAAGAGUUUAUUUAAUAUUUAAACACACAUUUUCAUUUAUUUAUCAAACAUAGGUACCUAAUCACCUAAAUAAAUUUAAAAUAAUUACACCAAACAUUAUAUUCCUUCUGUUUUAAAAUAUUUACAAGUUCAAAAUUAUUAUAAAUGAAUUUUAAAAUUUAAUAAUAGAAUCAUAAAAUUUUGUAUAUUAUCUAAAUAAUACUGGUAAUUGUAACAUUUAUUAUUCUAAUCAUUAGAUAAAAUUAUAUAAUAAACUUACCAUCAUCAGUGUAAAAUAUUUUUAAGGCGUUGUCAAGUUAUGGUUUGGGGCCACUUUCCCGCAAUCCCUCUUCCAGGUUCAGCAGCUUAUUCUUCUUCAUUUCUGAUUCAAAUUUCUGAAUGUAACUGUACGAUCUAAUGGUGGUUGUAAAAUCUAAGCAAGCAGGUGGGUAUUAACAAGGGUUACAAACAAGUGUGAGAAUAUACUUUAUUUAUUUUUUAAUUUUUAAUGCUUAAUUUUGGUGUGCUCAUAUAUUAUAUAAUAUGCUCUAUGUAGUUUAUAUGAAUGCAAUAGUUUAUGCUGAUGCUAGUAUUUGGUAAUUUAUGUACAGGUGAAGAUAGAUAUCAUGUCAUUAGUGAAGGGACAUAUUAAGUUGGUUGAAAAGGUACUCUAGAUUGUGGCCAAAAGUUCCUUCACUUAGCAACAGCUAGCCUUGUGUAUUCAUGUACACUUGUUUUUAAUAGAAGCAGUACAUCAUAAUUCUUAUGCUAGUGCAAUAAUUUUCAACUGCCUAAUACCUUGCGGUUCCUUGAAUUGAUUUCUCUUCUUUGUUACGUAAAGCAAGACGAGGCAUGUUCUAUUCUACCGUACCAUGUAGUUCUGAAGUUAUUCUGCAUUAAAUGAUUAAUGUUCGGGCAAUGAUGAAUUACUGUUGGUAGACAAUAUCUUAAAACUCUUUUGCAAUUGUUCCUCUCUGUGUGUGUGUGCGUGUGUGUUUUGGAUUAUAUUCUUCUACUAAUGAAAGGAAUAAAAGGAAAACCCCCAUCUAAGGGAAUGGAACCCGUAUACAGACUAUGGAAAAGGAAAACCCGUAGUUUACUCACAACUUACAACUCUCACCUUAUAUAUAUGUAUAUGCAUUCUGUAAUUGAGUAAGUUGAUGUUAAUAUGUAAUGAUUGAUGAAAGUAUGUGUUCAUUAAACUUACUUCCUUCUGCUCUAUAGGAUGUCACAUAAUCAUUAAUAAAUAUGAAAGGAG
rnacentral:lncRNA from 1 species